rnacentral:tRNA from 1 species
AGCUUUAUAUUCAAAAAUGAUUUUAAAUUGCAAAUUUAAAGGUAGAAUUUAUUCUUAAGGCUU